AUGCUCGGCGCGUGUACCGAUGGCAUGAAUCCGUUUGGCAACCAGAACACCAACCAUAGCACAUGGCCCGUGUUUGUAUGGAUGUACAACCUCCCCCCCUGGUUGUGCAUGAAAUCGAAGUACAUUCACAUGAGCAUGCUUAUUCAAGGGCUGAAACAACCAGGAAAUAAUAUUAAUUUAUAUCUGGGGCUACUUCAAGAGGAGUUAGACACGUUAUGGAAAACACCGGCCAAGACAUGGGACGCCAGCAAAGGUGAGUAUUUCAACAUGAGAGCCGCGCUGAUCACGACAGUGCAGGACUAUCUCGGUUAUGGAUAUGUGGCAGGCCAGGUGUGCCAUGGAUAUUGCGGAUGCACGCGGUGCAUGGAUGAUACGACGUCUCAGCAGCUAACAUCAAGGAAAGAUGGCGGGUCUGGGAAAAUCGUGUACAUGGGGCAUCGAAGAUGGCUUGAACAGGACGACCUAUGGAGAAACCGUGGAGAUCUAUUCAAUGGUUACGCUGAGCAUCGAGGACCUCCAUGUAAGCGGAGCGGUGCCAAAAUCGAUGAGCUGUUGAAAAACUGGAAGGAGUGCCCCGCGCCGGGAAAGACGAUGAGAAAGGCGCCGGAGCCGCUGCUGAAGGUAUGGAAGACGAGGUCUGUGUUCUGGGACUUGGAGUACUGGCACAAACUCGAUACACCUCAUUGCCUUGAUCAAAUGCAUAUCUGUAAGAAUGUCCUUGAGAGCUUGCUCGCAACACUGAUGAACAUGCCGGAUAAGACCAAGGAUGGGCCGAAGGCAAGAAAAGACUUGCAAGAUUUGAAAAUCAGAGAAGAUCUGCACAUGCCGGCCCGUAAAAUGUCAGACGAGACAGAGACGGAGACAGAGGCACGGGAGAAGAAGGUCAAGAAAAUAAAGAAAGAGGAUUAUUUCCCCCCUUCUUGCUUCACCUUAAGUCAGGCUGAGAUCAAUCAAUUCUUUAAGUGCCUUACCGGAGUCAAAGUUAGUUCCGGUUACUGUGGCAAGAUAAGCAGAUAUCUAGACACGAACAAGAAAAGGUUCAGCGGGAUGAAGUCUCAUGACUGUCAUGUGAUGAUGAUGCGGAUACUACCUGUUUCCCUUAGAGGGAUAAUGGACAAGCACGUCCGUGACACGCUUAUUGGUCUCUGCAACUUUUUCGAUGUCAUCUCUCGAAAGUCGAUUAGUGUGAAGCAGCUCCAAAGGCUACAGGAAGAGAUCAUUGUGAUACUGAAUGAGCUUGAGAUGUACUUCCCGCCCGCGUUCUUCGACGUGAUGGUGCAUCUGUGUGUCCAUAUUGUGGAUGACAUAAUAGACCUGGGGCCGCCAUUCCUGCACAACAUGAUGCCGUUUGAGAGGAUGAAUGGGAUCAUCAAAGGAUUCGUUCGUAACAUGUCCCGUCCGGAUGGAAGCAUCGUCCAGGGCUAUUUGGCACAAGAGUGCAUCUCUUUCUGUGAGAAUUUUCUAUAUGGCGCAGACCAGCCGCCUGGUGCUAGUGUUGGUUUGCCCGUUAAGAAGCACGAUGGGAGGCUCGAAGGAGAUGGUCACUGCAACGGUCGCAGGGAACUGCAUGUGGCAUACUCAGAUCGACGCAGCGACUUUGAUAGAGAAAACUUGGUAGUGCUACAACACCUAGACGAGGUAGAUCCUUUCGUGGCACUGCACAAAGAAAUUAUCGCAAAGAAGUAUCGUGACCGGGGGGGGGGUAUGCAGGACGGACGCCGAAGUUACUAG
rnacentral:rRNA from 1 species